AGUGAACGCUGGCGGUAGGCCUAACACAUGCAAGUCGAACGGCAGCACAGUAAGAGCUUGCUCUUACGGGUGGCGAGUGGCGGACGGGUGAGGAAUACAUCGGAAUCUACUUUUUCGUGGGGGAUAACGUAGGGAAACUUACGCUAAUACCGCAUACGACCUACGGGUGAAAGUAGGGGAUCUUCGGACCUUGCGCGAUUGAAUGAGCCGAUGUCGGAUUAGCUAGUUGGCGGGGUAAAGGCCCACCAAGGCGACGAUCCGUAGCUGGUCUGGGAGGAUGAUCAGCCACACUGGAACUGAGACACGGUCCAGACUCCUACGGGAGGCAGCAGUGGGGAAUAUUGGACAAAGGGCGCAAGCCUGAUCCAGCCAUACCGCGUGGGUGAAGAAGGCCUUCGGGUUGUAAAGCCCUUUUGUUGGGAAAGAAAAGCAGCAGGUUAAUACCCCGCUGUUCUGACGGUACCCAAAGAAUAAGCACCGGCUAACUUCGUG
rnacentral:rRNA from 1 species